UCCCCUUUUUUGUGCGGUUCUAGUGAAAAUAAACUUAACAUCUAACAGUGAAGCAGAUGUUGAUUAGGGGAGGUUAAUACCCACUGGCACGUUGGUUUCUAAGCCCCACUUCUGGAGGUUCCCAGCGCUGGUCAGUUAUGAAACCCAAUCUGCCUCUGUGCUAACACACAGCCCUGGCAGAAAACUCCUCUGCUUUGAAUGCUCUUGUGACUUUUGCAAAGCCUGAAGAAUAGACGCUUUCCUAUUGUUCUAAUAUGAUGGCACAGGAUACGCUGGAACACUGAAGAGGAAAUGAGAUGGCAAAGAUGAGAGGCCCAUGAAGACAAGCCCGUGUCUGAGCCUACAACUGGCUGCAGUGGCCGGGGGCUUGCUACAAACCCUGUCCAACAGUUAUGCUCUUCUGCGGUGCUCCAGCGUGGCUGCAUAUUCAAUCCCUCCCUGCCAACCCAGGUGUGGAAGAAAGAAUAUAUCUUAAUAUCAUAAGAAACACAGAAAGAAUAGAGAAGCAUAUUUUACUUCAUUAGUGGGCUUUAAAAGCUAAGAUCUAAGAUAAAGAUGAAGGGAAAUUUAGGGCAGGCUAUGGAAUGAGUUCCCCAGGGAAACGGUAGAAGCCCCAUCAUCAACCAAGAUGCUUGAAAUUAAACUCAAUAAAGCAUGAGAAAGUACGUGGUACUAAACAGCAUCAGCAGAAGGCUCAGCCACGUGAAGUGUCUUUUUCACUCCUGAUUUCUGUUCUCUUCUCACCCUGUCCAAGUGCCCUGGCAGAGUCUGCUCCCACUCAGCAUCGCUGUCACUCCUCAAACAGCCAGGGGCAACUUCAGUUAUUUUAAUGGGUUUAGCUUUAUGGUAAAUUCCUACCCAUAAAUGUAGAGGGACACAUCGUUACAGGCUUAUCUGUGCUGAGUAAUACCUUCCUCUGGCCUCGCCUGUAACUUCACACUGCUCUGAGUAAGGGAGGUCACUGCACCACUGCCCGGGGAGCGAAGAAGGAAGCGGGACCUCCUGCGUGCUCCUGCCCUCAUGCAUGCUCUUGCCCUCCUGCCUGGUCCUGCCCUCCUGCUUUCACUCUGCCACUUGGCGCCACGUGGGGCCAGCAGCAGGUCACAGGGACGAGCUCGCCCUGUUCCACAUCAGCGAGACGCAGCGGCAGUCACAGACGGCAGGCCAGCACUGAAGGCAGAACAGACAGGUGCCUGGGCGGGUAACUUGCUGUUCACUGUGCGAACCUGGGGUGAGACUCGGGUAGUUCUGGCUUGCAGAUAUGAUGGGGUUAUUCCUAGUGUAAGAGAAAAAAUUACCCAAAUCAAAUAGAUUAAAAACCAUGUUGGCUCAUGCCAGGAAAGCCAUUAAUAUAACUAAAUGCUGUUGACAGGGAAAAAGAUAAAAAUCACAUGUCAAAGCCAGGGAGGGGAGGAUUUGAUUAAAGAUGGCCUAACUGAUUCAGCAGCAGCAAUUAAGGUAGCUCUUCAAGUGGUGCAGCUCACCCUGCCAGGAGGCCAGGAGGGAGGCAGCGGGUCUGGCUCGUCGCUUGCACCAGUGUUACACUGCUGACACAGCUCCACGAAGAGCAGAGCAGAAUCGGGCCCGAACCGCCUGUGGCAACAUUACAGGAUCAGAUAAGACACCUCAGGAAUGCAGCAACCAACCAAGCUCCAAUGGUCCUGUCCCCAGCAUAAAAGCCAGACCAGAUUUUAGGAAAAUGCAUCAGAGGAACAAAAUGAAUCACAACACUUUGCAAGACAACCUAUCUCAUACUGGUGGAUGAGGCCUCGCCAGCUGAAUGUCAGUCUCAUGAUUAAAAGAAGCAAUUUUCAGCCAGCACACAGGCACGCCUUCCACCUGAGAAAGACCCAAGGAAAUAGAAGGAAAGAAACAGAAGUAUCAGAAACACCACUUCUGGAACCAGGAAAGGAUGCUGUCUAGAAGCUCUGAUACCUGCCCAGCUGCUUGUGAUUCUGCAGCACUCCCCCAGGAACUCGAACACAGAGUAAUGACUGGCGGUCUCUAGAGAAAAGCUUCCCUCAAACAAAAUGCAUUGGCUUAAGAGGGAUAAACGAUGAAGCUCUACAGCCCGUGCUGCCACACAGGAGCUCAGAUAAGAUGAUACGAUGACAUACAGCGGUCAUAAAAUCUGAGGUCUUAUCAGUCCAACUUGGUUAGGUCUCUGAAUAAGCCUAGCAUCACUGUUGAGUCCAACUUGCACA